UACGGGGGAGCAAGCGUUGUUCGGAUUUUCUGGGCGUAAAGGGCGCCUAGGCGGUCAGCACAAGUCAGUUGUGAAAUCUCCGGGCUUAACUCGGAAAGGUCAACUGAUACUGUGCGACUAGAGUGCGGAAGGGGCAACUGGAAUUCUCGGUGUAGCGGUGAAAUGCGUAGAUAUCAAGAGGAACACCUGAGGCGAAGGCGGGUUGCUAGGCUGACACUGACGCUGAAGCGCGAAAGCUAGGGUAGCAAACGGG
rnacentral:rRNA from 1 species